rnacentral:rRNA from 1 species
GUCUACGGCCACGCCGCCCUGCGCAAGCCCCAUCCCGUCUGAUCGCGGAAGCUAAGCAGGGUCGGGCCUGGUUAGGACUUGGAUGGGAGACCACCUAGGAAGCCCAGGUGCUGUAGACC